CUGGUUGCUGCUCUAUUUUACGUAGGAACAAUUGAAUCUCAUCAACCAAUAUCCGAGCAUCUCUUUUAUGCGCAAGAUUUUGUUGAUGAGGUAAUUACUGGAGUCUCCGUGUUUCAAUCAUUUCCGUUAAGAUUUAUUUGUCUUGGUGUUUUCUUUAUGAGUUGAUGUACAUCAUUGCAUUUUCAUGACUUCUUUUUCCAGUUGAGGAUACCUCUGAAAUUUGAGUAUGUUAUGCAGGACUCAUUCAUCCGAGAUUAUCAUACCGUAUCAUAAGUUCUCCAAGAGCCUUAUACAUUCGUUUUCCUGUGGAAUACGGUUUAAAAUUCGUUUUGAAACAGAAGAUUCUUCUGAAAGAAGGUAAGUGUUAUAAUUUAAUCAUAUGUAUAUUCUGUAUCAAGAGAAGUAGUUUUAAUUUGGUAGGUGCAGUUGCCUGCAAGAUGGCCUGGUUCAAAAUGAAAGUAUUUACUGGUAAUAAGUAUUUUCUUGAUUUUGGCUGGACAAUUUGAUACCCCCUUGGUUUUCAUGCUCUACAUGUUCAAGUACCUUUGUGGAUUGAUUUUUAUAUAUAAUAUUUGGUAUUAUUGAUUAAUCUUGGGUUCUUUUCAUACAGGUAAGCUGCAGCAUUGAUACAAAACCAUUAUUAAUGAUAAGGAUGUUAACAACUCAAGUCUGAGUGAGGGACGGAUCAUUUCAAUUAAUAUUACCCAUUAUGAGUAAGAUUUUUCUACAUCCAAUAAAAGCUACAUAAUCAGUUUGCAAGCUUCGUCUAUAAACUUCGUCAUCCAUAUAUUAUCUCUUUAUCCAACUCAAGUGUUUGGUCAAUUUCUUGCUUAAAUUUUUGCAUAUUUGAUGAUUAAUUCUCUAAGUAGGUCUUGAUUGGAUGAUUCAAGAAUUCUGGCCUUGCAGGGCAGGCCCUAGUGCUUUUUUUUAAUGGGAGGAAAUGUUUAGACAUAUACAACUUCAGUUCCUCCAACAUCAGGUCUAGAUUUUCACAUGUUUAUGAGGUUUUAUGGCCUCUCCUAAGCGAUAUCUCAAGGCUUGACAACACUACAUGUUAAUCAGGUGAACCUUCUUUAUAUUCUUUAUACUUUCUUCAUAAUACAAUUUGAUUUCUUUUAUGUUAUUUCGUUUCAGUUUAAAGUGAUCUACCAGUAGAUAUAUUGUAGAUAUAUUUUCUGGUGAUGGAAUAACCUGUUUUUUUCUCUGGAUUGUACAGGAACACAUUGUACAUGGGAGCAUGGGAUGAAGGACACGCAUGCCACUAAUUAACCAAAUUUAAUUAAAUUCAAAGUUAUUAGCUUGUGUUGUUUUUGUUAAACUGAGAUGUAUAGACUUUAUAAGUGAAUGUAAGUGUUGUUUUAAAGAUAAUUUUCG